UACGUAGGGGCUAGCGUUAUCCGGAUUUACUGGGCGUAAAGGGUGCGUAGGCGGUCUUUCAAGUCAGGAGUGAAAGGCUACGGCUCAACCGUAGUAAGCACUUGAAACUGUAUGACUUGAGUGCAGGAGAGGUAAGCGGAAUUCCUAGUGUAGCGGUGAAAUGCGUAGAUAUUAGAAGGAACACCGGUGGCGAAGGCGGCUUACUGGACUGUAACUGACGCUGAGUCACGAAAGCGUGGGUAGCAAACAGGAUUAGAUACCCUGGUAGUCCCUGA
rnacentral:rRNA from 1 species